GGUUAAGCGACUAAGCGUACACGGUGGAUGCCCUGGCAGUCAGAGGCGAUGAAGGACGUGCUAAUCUGCGAUAAGCGUCGGUAAGGUGAUAUGAACCGUUAUAACCGGCGAUUUCCGAAUGGGGAAACCCAGUGUGUUUCGACACACUAUCAUUAACUGAAUCCAUAGGUUAAUGAGGCGAACCGGGGGAACUGAAACAUCUAAGUACCCCGAGGAAAAGAAAUCAACCGAGAUUCCCCCAGUAGCGGCGAGCGAACGGGGAGCAGCCCAGAGCCUGAAUCAGUGUGUGUGUUAGUGGAAGCGUCUGGAAAGGCGCGCGAUACAGGGUGACAGCCCCGUACACAAAAAUGCACAUACUGUGAGCUCGAUGAGUAGGGCGGGACACGUGGUAUCCUGUCUGAAUAUGGGGGGACCAUCCUCCAAGGCUAAAUACUCCUGACUGACCGAUAGUGAACCAGUACCGUGAGGGAAAGGCGAAAAGAACCCCGGCGAGGGGAGUGAAAAAGAACCUGAAACCGUGUACGUACAAGCAGUGGGAGCACGCUUAGGCGUGUGACUGCGUACCUUUUGUAUAAUGGGUCAGCGACUUAUAUUCUGUAGCAAGGUUAACCGAAUAGGGGAGCCGAAGGGAAACCGAGUCUUAACUGGGCGUUAAGUUGCAGGGUAUAGACCCGAAACCCGGUGAUCUAGCCAUGGGCAGGUUGAAGGUUGGGUAACACUAACUGGAGGACCGAACCGACUAAUGUUGAAAAAUUAGCGGAUGACUUGUGGCUGGGGGUGAAAGGCCAAUCAAACCGGGAGAUAGCUGGUUCUCCCCGAAAGCUAUUUAGGUAGCGCCUCGUGAAUUCAUCUCCGGGGGUAGAGCACUGUUUCGGCAAGGGGGUCAUCCCGACUUACCAACCCGAUGCAAACUGCGAAUACCGGAGAAUGUUAUCACGGGAGACACACGGCGGGUGCUAACGUCCGUCGUGAAGAGGGAAACAACCCAGACCGCCAGCUAAGGUCCCAAAGUCAUGGUUAAGUGGGAAACGAUGUGGGAAGGCCCAGACAGCCAGGAUGUUGGCUUAGAAGCAGCCAUCAUUUAAAGAAAGCGUAAUAGCUCACUGGUCGAGUCGGCCUGCGCGGAAGAUGUAACGGGGCUAAACCAUGCACCGAAGCUGCGGCAGCGACGCUGAUGCGUUGUUGGGUAGGGGAGCGUUCUGUAAGCCUGUGAAGGUGUACUGUGAGGUAUGCUGGAGGUAUCAGAAGUGCGAAUGCUGACAUAAGUAACGAUAAAGCGGGUGAAAAGCCCGCUCGCCGGAAGACCAAGGGUUCCUGUCCAACGUUAAUCGGGGCAGGGUGAGUCGACCCCUAAGGCGAGGCCGAAAGGCGUAGUCGAUGGGAAACAGGUUAAUAUUCCUGUACUUGGUGUUACUGCGAAGGGGGGACGGAGAAGGCUAUGUUGGCCGGGCGACGGUUGUCCCGGUUUAAGCGUGUAGGCUGGUUUUCCAGGCAAAUCCGGAAAAUCAAGGCUGAGGCGUGAUGACGAGGCACUACGGUGCUGAAGCAACAAAUGCCCUGCUUCCAGGAAAAGCCUCUAAGCAUCAGGUAACAUCAAAUCGUACCCCAAACCGACACAGGUGGUCAGGUAGAGAAUACCAAGGCGCUUGAGAGAACUCGGGUGAAGGAACUAGGCAAAAUGGUGCCGUAACUUCGGGAGAAGGCACGCUGAUAUGUAGGUGAAGUCCCUCGCGGAUGGAGCUGAAAUCAGUCGAAGAUACCAGCUGGCUGCAACUGUUUAUUAAAAACACAGCACUGUGCAAACACGAAAGUGGACGUAUACGGUGUGACGCCUGCCCGGUGCCGGAAGGUUAAUUGAUGGGGUCAGCGCAAGCGAAGCUCUUGAUCGAAGCCCCGGUAAACGGCGGCCGUAACUAUAACGGUCCUAAGGUAGCGAAAUUCCUUGUCGGGUAAGUUCCGACCUGCACGAAUGGCGUAAUGAUGGCCAGGCUGUCUCCACCCGAGACUCAGUGAAAUUGAACUCGCUGUGAAGAUGCAGUGUACCCGCGGCAAGACGGAAAGACCCCGUGAACCUUUACUAUAGCUUGACACUGAACAUUGAGCCUUGAUGUGUAGGAUAGGUGGGAGGCUUUGAAGUGUGGACGCCAGUCUGCAUGGAGCCGACCUUGAAAUACCACCCUUUAAUGUUUGAUGUUCUAACGUGGACCCGUAAUCCGGGUUGCGGACAGUGUCUGGUGGGUAGUUUGACUGGGGCGGUCUCCUCCUAAAGAGUAACGGAGGAGCACGAAGGUUGGCUAAUCCUGGUCGGACAUCAGGAGGUUAGUGCAAUGGCAUAAGCCAGCUUGACUGCGAGCGUGACGGCGCGAGCAGGUGCGAAAGCAGGUCAUAGUGAUCCGGUGGUUCUGAAUGGAAGGGCCAUCGCUCAACGGAUAAAAGGUACUCCGGGGAUAACAGGCUGAUACCGCCCAAGAGUUCAUAUCGACGGCGGUGUUUGGCACCUCGAUGUCGGCUCAUCACAUCCUGGGGCUGAAGUAGGUCCCAAGGGUAUGGCUGUUCGCCAUUUAAAGUGGUACGCGAGCUGGGUUUAGAACGUCGUGAGACAGUUCGGUCCCUAUCUGCCGUGGGCGCUGGAGAACUGAGGGGGGCUGCUCCUAGUACGAGAGGACCGGAGUGGACGCAUCACUGGUGUUCGGGUUGUCAUGCCAAUGGCACUGCCCGGUAGCUAAAUGCGGAAGAGAUAAGUGCUGAAAGCAUCUAAGCACGAAACUUGCCCCGAGAUGAGUUCUCCCUGACUCCUUGAGAGUCCUGAAGGAACGUUGAAGACGACGACGUUGAUAGGCCGGGUGUGUAAGCGCAGCGAUGCGUUGAGCUAACCGGUACUAAUGAACCGUGAGGCUUAACCUU
rnacentral:rRNA from 1 species